rnacentral:rRNA from 1 species
UACGGAGGGUGCAAACGUUGCUCGGAAUCAUUGGGCGUAAAGCGCACGUAGGCGGCCUAUUAAGUCGGAUGUGAAAGCCCUGGGCUCAACCCAGGAAGUGCAUUCGAAACUGGUAGGCUUGAAUAUGGAAGAGGGUCGCGGAAUUCCCGGUGUAGAGGUGAAAUUCGUAGAUAUCGGGAGGAACACCAGUGGCGAAGGCGGCGACCUGGACCGACACUGACACUGAGGAGCGAAAGCCAGGGGAGCAAACGGG